rnacentral:rRNA from 1 species
UCUGCCCUUCACUCUGGGAUAACCCUCGGAAACGAGAGCUAAUACCGGAUACGACCACUUCAGGCAUCUGAUGGUGGUGGAAAGUUCCGGCGGUGAAGGAUGAGCUCGCGGCCUAUCAGCUUGUUGGUGAGGUAAUGGCUCACCAAGGCUUCGACGGGUAGCCGGCCUGAGAGGGUGACCGGCCACACUGGGACUGAGACACGGCCCAGACUCCUACGGGAGGCAGCAGUGGGGAAUAUUGGACAAUGGGCGAAAGCCUGAUCCAGCAACGCCGCGUGAGGGAUGACGGCCUUCGGGUUGUAAACCUCUUUCAGCAGGGACGAAGCGCAAGUGACGGUACCUGCAGAAGAAGCACCGGCCAACUACGUG